AAGCGUUUAUGACCAGACUUGGGCUUGGUUAAUCAUCUGGGGUUCUCCCCAGUGCACUUUUCCAGUCCAGGCCAGCAUCAGUUUUCCCCGGGGGAUAAAGGCGGCGGGAAUGUGGCUCUCUUCGGGGAGUGUUAUAGCCCACCGUGUAAUACCCUGGGGGGGACUGAGGUUCGCGCAUCUGCAAGGAUGCUGGCGUAAUGGUCAUCAACGA
rnacentral:rRNA from 1 species